rnacentral:lncRNA from 1 species
AGAACCAGCCCUUGCAAACACAGCUGCAGAAAUUGCCCAAACAGCCGCUGAGAUGGCUGAAUUUCAUGUGCAACCUGCUGCCCCUGUUCAAAGACCAGCUGGACCUGCUGUACAUGCUGAUAUUGAACCAGAAAAUCCAGCCAAGAGGGCACCAAUACCAAGAGAAAGAACACUGAGAGAGUUGGCAGCCCCUGUUGAUGAUCAAGCGUUAUGGUGCAUCACUUACCCUCCUUUGACA